GCCCCGGUAGCUCAGGGGAUAGAGCGUCCGCCUCCUAAGCGGAAGGUCGCAGGUUCAAAUCCUGCUCGGGGCACCA
rnacentral:tRNA from 1 species